rnacentral:misc_RNA from 1 species
GUGAAUAUAGCGCAUCUCUUCGGAGAGCGUGACCUCCACUUUCAACUCUGUGCAUUUUUUGGCUAGGGAACGAGACGAAGCGACGCAAGUUGCAGACUCUCGCCUCUUGCGGCUCAUUUUAACACUAGUUAAAGUAUGUAACGAAAUAUCGAAACAAAAA